rnacentral:rRNA from 1 species
GAUGAACGCUGGCGGCGUGCCUAAUACAUGCAAGUCGAGCGAAGCGGGGACGGGUGAGUAACACGUGGAUAACCUCGUAUAAGACUGGGCAAACUUCGGGAAACAGGAGCUAAACCGGAUACUUAUAGGUUGAUCCGCGCUGCAUUAGCUAGUUGGUACGGUAACGGCUUAACAAGGCAACGCUGCAUAGCCGACCUGAGAGUGUGAUCGGCCACACUGGAACUGCGACACGGUCCAGACUCCUACGGGAGGCAGCAGUAGGGAAUCUUCCGCAAUGGGCGAAAGCCUGACGUAGCAACGCCGCGUUAGUGAUGAAGGUCUGCGGAUCGUAAAACUCUGCUAUUAGUGAAGCGGUACCUAAUCAGAAAGACACGGCUAACUACGUGCCAGCAGCCGCGGUAAUUC